GGAUUGUAGGCUGCAACUCGCCUACAUGAAGUCGGAGUUGCUAGUAAUCGCGGAUCAGAAUGCCACGGUGAAUACGUUCCCGGGUCUUGUACACACCGCCCGUCACACCAUGGGAGCUGGUAACACCCGAAGUCAGUAGUCUAACCGCAAGGAGGACGCUGCCGAAGGUGGGAUUAGCGACUGGGGUGAAGUCGUAACAAGGUACC
rnacentral:rRNA from 1 species